rnacentral:rRNA from 1 species
ACGCUGGCGGCGUGCCUAAUACAUGCAAGUAGAACGCUGAAGAGAGGAGCUUGCUCUUCUUGGAUGAGUUGCGAACGGGUGAGUAACGCGUAGGUAACCUGCCUUGUAGCGGGGGAUAACUAUUGGAAACGAUAGCUAAUACCGCAUAACAAUAGGUGACACAUGUCAUUUAUUUGAAAGGGGCAAUUGCUCCACUACAAGAUGGACCUGCGUUGUAUUAGCUAGUAGGUGAGGUAACGGCUCACCUAGGCGACGAUACAUAGCCGACCUGAGAGGGUGAUCGGCCACACUGGGACUGAGACACGGCCCAGACUCCUACGGGAGGCAGCAGUAGGGAAUCUUCGGCAAUGGGGGCAACCCUGACCGAGCAACGCCGCGUGAGUGAAGAAGGUUUUCGGAUCGUAAAGCUCUGUUGUAAGUCAAGAACGAGUGUGAGAGUGGAAAGUUCACACUGUGACGGUAGCUUACCAGAAAGGGACGGCUAACUACGUGCCAGCAGCCGCGGUAAUACGUAGGUCCCGAGCGUUGUCCGGAUUUAUUGGGCGUAAAGCGAGCGCAGGCGGUUUGAUAAGUCUGAAGUUAAAGGCUGUGGCUCAACCAUAGUUCGCUUUGGAAACUGUCAAACUUGAGUGCAGAAGGGGAGAGUGGAAUUCCAUGUGUAGCGGUGAAAUGCGUAGAUAUAUGAAGGAACACCGGUGGCGAAAGCGGCUCUCUGGUCUGUGACCGACGCUGAGGCUCGAAAGCGUGGGGAGCGAACAGGAUUAGAUACCCUGGUAGUCCACGCCGUAAACGAUGAGUGCUAGGUGUUGGAUCCUUUCCGGGAUUCAGUGCCGCAGCUAACGCAUUAAGCACUCCGCCUGGGGAGUACGACCGCAAGGUUGAAACUCAAAGGAAUUGACGGGGGCCCGCA